GACGUAGGGCGCGAGCGUUGUCCGGAUUUAUUGGGCGUAAAGAGCUCGUAGGCGGCUUGUCGCGUCGUCCGUGAAAACCCACAGCUCAACUGUGGGCUUGCGGUCGAUACGGGCAGGCUAGAGUUCGGUAGGGGAGACUGGAAUUCCUGGUGUAGCGGUGAAAUGCGUAGAUAUCAGGAGGAACACCGGUGGCGAAAGCGCUUGUCUGGCCCAAUACUGACGCUGAUGCGCGAAAGCCAGGGGAGCAAACGGG
rnacentral:rRNA from 1 species